rnacentral:rRNA from 1 species
AAAUCAGGUGGGACUACCCGCUGAACUUAAGCAUAUCAAUAAGCGGAGGAAAAGAAAAUAACUAUGAUUCCCUUAGUAACGGCGAGUGAACAGGGAAAAGCCCAAAUUUGUAAUC